GUUUUUUUUUGUUUUUUGUCUUUUUGCCAUUUCUUGGGCCGCUCUCGCGGCAUUUGGAGGUUCUCAGGCUAGGGGUCGAAUCGGAGAUGUAGCCACCGGCCUAGCCAGAACCACAGCAACGUGGGAUCCGAGCCGCGUCUGCAACCUACACCACAGCUCACCGCAACGCCAGAUCUUUAACCCAGGGCAAGGGCAGGGAUCAAACCCGCAACCUCAUGGCUCCUAGUCGGAUUCGUUAACCACUGCGCCACGGUGGGAACUCCUAACCAUGUAGAGUUUUUUAAGUAAUAAAAAAGUUACAAUGAAACGGAAAAAUCUGAAUAUGAAAAAUGAGAUUCACUACUGAGUAAAUCUAAGAGGACUAAGAAGUGCUCAUGACUGAAAUAUAGGGAGCCCCCGAAGGGGUGGAAAUCUUCUAGUCUUGGAUUGUAAACCUGAGGACUGCCCCUGAAGCUUCAGAAAAAGGUUCAAGAUUUCUUUUGCUUAAAAAAAAAUUAAACAGAACUCUAUUUAGAAAACAAAAAAUCUUUUCAUCCUUAAGAGGUGCUUCAGGAAGAAUUUAGAUAAAUUCAUGAAUUACUUUGAAUCUAUUUGUUCCUCUGUAAAUUUUUGACCUUUUGUCUAAAAGCAAUAAUAGCAUUUGACUCUAACUCUGCUCAGAGGUGAAUGGUUUUCAAAUAUUUUACAUUAUAUGAAAUGUUUUUAAAACUUUUUUUCUGAUUCUAAAAACAAUUCACAUUUCACCAUAGAAAAUAAAGAGUUACUUAAAAGUUGGAAUAAAACUAUAUAUACAGAUUUGACCACCUUAUCCCACUUAACCUCGCUGUAUAAAGAUUCUGAUGUUUAAUGAAAAAAUGAAGACCGAGGGGUUAUCAUACUAAAUGAAGUAAGACAGAGAAAGACAAAUGUCACAUGAUAUCACUUACGUGUGGAAUCUAAGAAAAAAAAAAGGGGGGUACAAAUGAACUUAUUUGCAGAACAGAAACAGAUGCAGACUUAGAAAACAAAUUUCUGAAAAAAUAAAAAUCAUAAAUAAAUAAAUAAAAGAAAACCAUAAGUUACCAAAGGGGACAGAUUGGGGAGGGAUGUACUGGGGGUUUGGGAUUGGCACAUGCACAGUGUGAUAUAUGGAAUGACUGACCAACGGGGAACUGCUGGUAUUGGGACCUCUACCCAAUACUUUGUGAUACUCUAUAGGGGAAAAGAAACUGAAAAGAAUGGAUGUGUGUAUAUGUAUAACUGAAUCACUUUGUUGUACAGCAAAUUAUCAUAAGACAUUGUAAAUCAACUGACCUUGAUAAAACUUUUUUUAAAAAAAGACUGAAUUAUUACCACAGCUCUUAUUUCUGAUCUUCCCUAAUCCAAAAAAGCUAAUGAGUGCCAUAAAUUUAACAUGUCCAAAACCAGACUUUUGGCUCUCUCUCCAUCUCCAUAUUGUCUUCCCUUCAGCAAUGGAACAACUAUCUGCCUGGUUGUUUAAUCAAAAACUUGAACAAUCCUUGAUUUUUUUCUUUUCUCUCCUCACCACUCCACAACACACACACACACAUGCAGACUCACAAAAUCAAAACCCAAAAACCAAAAACAAACUUUGUUUUUAGUGAUUAUCAUAAUUGAUUUACUGAUUGCUUUAUUGUCACCUGUUCUUUAGAUCUUUGCCACUGCCACUGGGUGAACAAGUCCAAAGUUGUCAGCUAGAAAUGCCAGACAUGUAGAGCAGAUAAUGAGCAUCAUGGCUAAUGCUUUCUGAGAUCAACCACUCCCAGCUAAGUCAGCAACUGAUUUGGCAGUCACAUAAACAAAGUCAGCCAAAACCAGAAGAACUGCCAUGCUGAGCGCAGUCCAAAUUGCUGACCCAAAGAACUGUAAGUUAAAUGGGUGAUCUACCUUAAGCUGCUACUAAGUUUCCAGGCCAUUUUUUUUUUUUAUGGGGCAAAAAUUAACUGAUAUAGUUACCUUAAGUAUAUCUUCCAUCACUGGGCAAGAUGACCGGCAAGAAUUCAUUCUUUAAGUAAAGAAGGAGAUGAAACCCCUUCUCCCCCAAAAAACUCAUUUGGUUAGUUUCCUAGGACAUCUGCUAGCAAAGCUGGCCAGUUCUCCUAGGAGAUUUGUGAAACAGGAGCUUAGCGGAGUGGGAAGAAGAGGCAGAGAACAGAGAAGCAGAGGUCUUGAUUGUUGGUUGCCCCAUGUGACCCUUUCAAUCUAUGAGCUAUCUUUCAAAUUCUUUUCCUGGUAAAUAUCCCUUGCCACUGUGCUCCAGCCACAAAAGCCUCCUAGUUCUUCCUCAAACAUGCCAGGCAAGUUUCCACCUCUUGGCCUGUUCUUAUAAUCUCCCUUCUUAGACUGAAACAGUCUUUCCCUAGAUGGGAAUUUCUUAAACUGCAUGCUCCUAAUAUUUUGGGCUGGAUAAAUCUUUGUUACAGGAGGCUGCUGUUUGCAUUAUAAGAUAGUUGGCAGCAUUUUUAGCCUCUACUUACUUGAUGCCAGUAGCACCUCCCCACCCCCAGACCAGAUUGUGACAACCAAGAACACCUCCAGAUGCCAAAUGUCCCUUGAGAGGCAAAAUCGCCCCGGUUAGGAAUCACUGCCCUAGAUAUCAGCAUGAUUCACUCCCUCACUUAAUUUAGGUCUGUACUCAAAUGCCACCUCUAGGGAAACUUUUCCAAAACCGAGGCUAAGACAGAAAGCCUAUCUUGCCCUGUCUUUCCCGGUUUUAUUUUUUUCUCACACUAUUUAUCACCAACGAAUAAUAUAUCAGAUAGUUCUUUAUUAUGUCUUCCCUGUUUUGUUCACUGCUGUAAUCCUAGGUUCUCAAACCAAAACAAUUGAUAGGUGCUUUACAAAUAUUUGUUGAAUGAAGGACGGAAGGAAGAAGUUACCCUGCAAGAAGGAUGGAAGAGAGAUAGGAUGUCCUGACUCUGGUGGAAGGGAGACACGCCACCAAAAGAAAGCCUUCAGUUCUACUUAGCUAUUAAAAUCUAUAUUGCCUGUUGUAUUUAGCAAUGAUGAGGCUUUAGGGAAUUUCCUAAUAAUGGGCACACUUUUACUCACUUUCUCUACAAGGAUGUUUUGAAUGCAGAGAUAAAACACUUUAAAUCUAUUUGUCAGCCACACUUAUGAAUAUUAUACACUUUGAGACUUAAAUUAGUCAUUUCAUAUUAGCAAGAAAUGAUGUUCUCAUCCAUUAUAAACAUUGAUAUCUGCUUGCCACUGAGCAAGAAGCAUUCUCACAAUUAGAAAAAUGCCUGAUUAAAAACCUGCAUUUGUUCUUCACACUUAUUAGUUGAAAAUGUGUUUCUGAGAGGUUUUUUCGUAUUAGCAUUCCUGUGUAGGGCUAUCAAUUCAGUGGAUGUUACUCUGAUUCCAGUCCUUGUAAGUUUAUUCAUGUAGCAAAGUCCUUACUUAAUUGCAAGACUGAAUGGUUUUCUUUCCUGAAAAUCCGUUACACUCUUUCUGAAUUCCUUAAAACAUAUUAAGCCGAUUUCUAAGAGGCUAGCUUUCUUCUGAAAAGAACUGAAUGUAUUCAAGAGAAAUUACAAGUGCCAAGAAAACUGCACACUAUGGAGAAAGAGGUAAAGAUAGUUCGUGACUGUUGACAGAUGCUUGUGAAUGGUUAGAAUACUUUCAGAAAGCCCAAAUCCAGCCAGUUAUUAACUGAAGUUCCAUAAUACAUCAGCUUUCAAGAAUCUCCAGGGAAUAACUUCUGAAUACAUUAAAUAGAACUUUUAAAAAUUAAUUCUACUUCCACAUUUCCAAGUUUUCACUCAUUAAAGUCUUUCUAAGACACACAAUACUUCCCUCUUCUUUAUAAUAGACUAUAUGUAACAGUGUGUGUGUGUGUAUUUUAGUGACCUAGGCUCAUCCUUAUGAACAGAGGUCCUUCUUUGAGCUGUGUGUAAGCACAAGCAAGGCUGAGUAUAAGUCUCAUGGUUUCAGGAUUAGGCCCCCAAGAGUACUUCUGGAAUUCGCAGGUGGAAUAUGGCAUAUGCAAAAACAUGAUAGCUUUGUCACGAGCCUACCUUUUACAAAAUGAUGGCUAAAACAAGGACUAAAAGCAGACUUUCCAUCCUGGGGUUAUCUUGAUUUUUUUCAAAAGUCAUCAUCUUCUUUUCUCUUUUUCUAGAGUCUUAUCAACUUCCAAUAACCUUCUAAACCUUGUUGGUAAUCUCUAUAUUCAGCACUAUCAGCAACUUACAUCAUUCAUCUAUUUCCCUCUCACUAGUUGCAUAUAGGAGAAGGAUUCCUCAUUAUUAAUUCAAGAAUUUUAUGUGAGAAGAGUUGGGGAAAACCUACACAUAAUAUACCUCAUCCUCUCCUAACUCCAUCAUCCUGAACCAGCCCACAACAUUACCUCCGUCAUCACCCCCAUCAUCACCGUCACCAUCAUCAGAAAAUGAUCACUUUCAGAGACUUAACACCAGACUACAUUUUUCUUAAAGCAUACCUCAGUGUUUGACUUUGGACAGAAUUCUAGACACCUACAAAAUGAGUUUUAAUGAAUAAUACAUUUGGAUAUUUUGUGCAGUAUUUGCAAGACAUGUCAAAUUCUUCUUGCAUUUUCUCUCAUAAUAACAUUUUCUUUCUGAAUAAAACCCCAGCUGAUACACAGGCAGCAGAAAGAUGAUGAAGAUGGCAAUGCUGCCUCAUCAAGGUUAGAGUCACAGUUGCCUAGCUGGAGAGUAGGUGAAGUAUCCUCAGGUAAGAUUCAGAUUUGAAAUAAUCUUUCCUGAUGGUGUGAAAAAGUGAUGGAACCUCUUGGGAAGUAUUUUUCACCCAUCUGUGCAUUAGUUUGUCCUCUGGAAUCAACACCCAAACUCCUCUGAAAGCUCUGUGCUAAUGAUUUUUUUUUUCUAAAAGUUAAAGGUUUUAUUUUCCAGAGCCUCCAAGACAAGCUCCUGCAGGCAGAGUCAACCUGCUCUCAUUGUGUUUGAAAUGAGGCACAGUCCAUGGGGAAGCUGGCAAAUACGACCAAAGCACACUAUUAUAUGCCACUCAGGGGGCAGGAAGCUAUUUAUAAAGGUGUUCUCUGAAAAGAAUAAAUGGACAUUUUUAUAUAGCUGUAUUAUAUGCUGGCUGUUUAUACAAGUGAAAAUCAGCAAAAGUACCCAUGCCUUAAUCAAUUAAUAAGAAUCUAUCCCUUUUUCAAAUCUGCUCUCUAAAAUUUGUCUUUUAACAGUGUUUUGAGUUGCAGGUCAUUGAAGUGGUGGGAGAAAGAUGGAAAGGUAUUCUCUCUUUUUAUUGGAAAAUACUGAAAUAAAAGUAACCCCAAUCAGUCAAGCAUAUCAGCUUGCAUAAUACAUCAACAGAACAUAACAACACACUUGUAAAAGCAGACGACUUGUGAAGAGCAUCCCUUUUAAAACAAGUUAUGUAACACUUGGAUAACAUAUAUAUCAGGGUAGGUUUCCCAGGCUUGCUCAUGUCGAGUCCAUGGUUCCAUGUCCCCUUGCCUUUCUCAGUUCACACUGCAGGACACCAUGUAUAACACACUCACCCCCAAUCCAAAUGCACACAUUUACAAUAGUCUACAGCCACAUUACCAGAUGAUAGUGACGACAGCUUAUUCAUUAUUGCCUUCAGCAUACAUAUCAUGGGAUCUGUAUGUCAGGCAGUGUGUGGGCUCACAGUCACUCAUUGUACUGUAUGUCUGAAGGCCUUCAGUAAAUUUUAUAUGCAAUGGGACCCCUAUGUGAUCCCUGGAGUGUUGUGACUCAUCCUUAUAUUCACUGUAACCCUCCCCACAACUCUGUUAUCUCAGGGCUGAUGCCUGCUAUUUACCUUUAGACCAAUCAUACCCUGAAAAGCAGCUGAAAUGCCCUCUCUCAUUCACACCACCUCUUUUCUUUUCCUAGCCUGCUGUCUGUAAUGUAUUCUUUGCCUCUAUUUUCUUUUUAUUUUGUCUCAGUCAUGUCUUCAAUGCUUCUGUGUUCAUGGUCUCUGUCUGGUCAGAGAGUCAAUGGAACUACAUUAAUCUCUAGGUUUCCAGGUCUUCCUAGCUACUAUUGCUACUUUUAUCUGCUCCAAGUCUGGACAAAGAAUUCUUUAAAACACACAGUCAUCUGUUCCCAACACAGUUUCCCUUUCCUCCCAUCAAAUCUGGUUUGAUACUAUUCCAGAGGCUUGAAAUUGUUUGCAGUCUGACAUCUGAGUCCUAGAUAAAGGAUGAAGUACAGUAGUUGACUUUGCCAGAGACAGUUAGAACUUUUCCUGAGACACUGGGUACACUCACAUAAUU
rnacentral:lncRNA from 1 species